CCCCAAAAUGACCAAUUCGCCGUAUUUUACCGGGUCUUUAACGGGCACAUCAUCAUCUCCGUCUUUUUUCGGUGAAUUCAUCAGACUGGACUGCUCCAGAAGAAACAAAAAAACCCGACGUCCAACGGCCACUAGUAGAUUCUGUACAUCCUGUAUCUACACUGGCCAGUCGAACCAACACUUAAACAGUACAAACAUGAUGAGAAAUCGUUCGAGGGUGAAACUCACUGAGUGCUUCACUUGGCCUCUGACUCUUUAAGUAAAGUGAGCAUACCAUCACUAAACUCCCCCGGCUCUAUGGAAACAACCGUGGGUAGAGAGAGAUAGCGACUGCCUGAGGUGUGAGAAAAGCAACGAUGAGACGUGUGUCUCUUCAACUGUGACUUUAGUGUAUGUGUGGUUGUAUAGUCAACAGAAUGACAAUCAGUGCUUGUAUGCUGCUUUUAGCAAGUAGACUAAGAAAUGCAGUUGCAUGACACACAUCAUGAACAGCUGGUUCAGCCUCGGGCAAACAGGUGAAUAUUUCCUAGAAAACAUGUAAGAGUUUUUUUUUUAUAUUUGAUUAAAUAUGAGUUCAAGAGCAA